UGGGUAAUAUUGCACAAUGGGCGAAAGCCUGAUGCAGCGACGCCGCGUGAGGGAUGACGGCCUUCGGGUUGUAAACCUCUUUCAGCAGGGACGAAGCGCAAGUGACGGUACCUGCAGAAGAAGCACCGGCUAACUACGUGCCAGCAGCCGCGGUAAUACGUAGGGUGCAAGCGUUGUCCGGAAUUACUGGGCGUAAAGAGUUCGUAGGCGGUUUGUCGCGUCGGUUGUGAAAACCAGCAGCUCAACUGCUGGCUUGCAGGGGAUUCGGGCAGGCUUGAGUACUGCAGGGGAGACUGGAAUUCCUGGUGUAGCGGUGAAAUGAGCUGAUAUCAGGAGGAACACCGGUGGAGAAGGCGGGGCUCUGGGCAGUAACUGACGCUGAGGAACGAAAGCGUGGGUAGCGAACAGG
rnacentral:rRNA from 1 species